rnacentral:rRNA from 1 species
CUUGACAUACAUAAGAGGUCCAGCCUGCCCAGUGACUAAGUUCAACGGCCGCGGUAUCCUAACCGUGCGAAGGUAGCGUAAUCACUUGUUCUUUAAAUGAGGACUAGUAUGAAUGGCACCACGAGGGUUAUACUGUCUCCUUUUUUUAAUCAAUGAAACUGAUCUCCCCGUGAAGAAGCGGGGAUAAAUUUAUAAGACGAGAAGACCCUAUGGAGCUUUAAACAAUUAUAGCACUGGCCCACACCUCUUAUUCUUCUGAGAUAUAAUUAUCAUACAGGCCAACAUGACUAUUAGUUUUAGGUUGGGGUGACCGCGGAGCAAAAAUUAACCUCCACGUUGAACGGAGCUACUCCUGAGCUAAAAACUACAACUUUAAGCACCAAUAAACUGACAUCAAUUGACCCAAUAUAUUGAACAACGAAC